GCGGGAAUUCCAUUUUCCGGUUGAUCCUCCCGGACCCGACUGCUAUCAGAGUGGGACUAAGCCAUGCGAGUCAACGCCGCAAGGCGUGGCAUACGGCUCACUAACACGUAGUCAACAUGCCCAAAGGACGUGGAUAACCUCGGGAAACUGAGGAUAAACCGCGAUAGGCCAAGGUUUCUGGAAUGGACCAUGGCUGAAAUCUAUAUGGCCUUUGGAUUGGACUGCGGCCGAUCAGGCUGUUGGUGAGGUAAUGGCCCACCAAACCUGUUACCGGUAACGGCUUUGAGAGAAGGAGCCCGGACAUGGGCACUGAAACAAGGGCCCAGGCCCUAUGGGGCGCCACAGGCGC
rnacentral:rRNA from 1 species